CCAAAAUCGGACUACCCAAAUCAUUUCCAUUUUCCCCCCAAACCAGAAAGCAAGAAGAGAAACCUACUGCUCUUCUCGCCGCUCUUUCCGCACCUCUUCAUCUCCGAAUUUCUGGGCCCACGACCAGGAAAUCAAGCACAGGCUCAUUUAUUCUAGAACAUCCUUCUGCCCAAGAACGAUGCGGGCAACUGAAUCCGAAGGUGGAAAUAGAAUUUGAAGUCAGCGCCGAUAUCUAUGCGUCUGAGCUGGGCAAAGUGGUUGACUAGAAUGAGAGGAAGGAAUUUCGGAGUUUGUCACGGCUGUAGAAGUAACGCUCACGACUUUGGACAAUGUCAAACAAAACGUGGAUGCCCUUCAUCUAAAUGCGGAUUUCGGAAAUGUUUUGAGGUAGAACAGAAUAUUGAAAACAAAGGGCAGUACUUCUUCACGUGUAGUAAUGACUGGAUAUUUCGAUUGGGUGAAAAAUAAAGAUUUAAGUAGGGAGUCGAGUACCGUUAAUGAGGAGGUGAACCAUGAGUCGAAGGAGGAAUAUGAAGACUUGCCAAGACUCUUCAACAGCCUAGCUCGAAUUACCGAGGAACGAGACGUCGACGUAACAUUGCACGUAACAUUUUGCAAAGGAAAAGGAAUUGUAGAAUGCGAUGGGAAGGGGAAGGCACCGACGUGAACGAGUGAUGUCAAUUUGUAAUUGCUACAUGCUUUGUUCGUACCAUAACAACUUCUUUGUCGUAGUAGGCUUGAAUGUUCAAUGCUUAAUUUUGUCAACGUCGUUCGAGCAUUGGACAUAUUUCUAAUAUUUUGCGGAUUGUUGUAAUAUAUUAAAGGUUUGGAUAUAUGUUUCUUGUAAUGGUUUAUCUUGCGACUCGUUGUAAUAUAUUAAUGGUUUGGAUA